GGACACGUGAAAUCCUGUCUGAACAUGGGGGGACCAUCCUCCAAGCCUAAGUACUCCUACAUGACCGAUAGUGAACCAGUACCGUGAGGGAAAGGUGAAAAGAACCCUGAACAAGGGAGUGAAAUAGAACCUGAAACCGUACGCUUACAAGCGGAGGGAGCCUACGGGUGACCUCGUGCCUUUUGCAUAAUGAUCCUACGAGUUACUCCUCACUAGCGAGGUUAAGCAUUUAAGAUGCGUAGCCGAAGCGAAAGCGAGUCUGAAUAGGGCGAACUAGUUAGUGGGGGUAGACGCGAAACUUGGUGAUCUACCCAUGAGCAGGUUGAAGUUGCAGUAACAUGUAAUGGAGGACCGAACCAGUAAACGUUGAAAAGUUUUUGGAUGACUUGUGGGUAGGGGUGAAAGGCCAAUCAAACUGAGAGAUAGCUCGUACUCUCCGAAAUGUUUUUAGGAACAGCCUCGUGUUAAAGUGUCAUAGAGGUAGAGCUACUGAUUGGGUAAGGGGGUGUCAAAGCCUACCGAACUCAGACAAACUCCGAAUGCUAUUGACAUGUUCCACGGGAGUGAGGCUUUGGGUGCUAAGGUCCUAAGCCGAGAGGGAAAGAACCCAGACCAUCAGCUAAGGUCCC
rnacentral:rRNA from 1 species